GGUUGUAUAGUGUAGUGGUCAUCACCUUGGAUUCUGACUUUUUCCAGUAACCCCGGUUCGAACCCGGGUACGACCU
rnacentral:tRNA from 1 species